rnacentral:rRNA from 1 species
CCGAUGGGAUGUUUCUUUAAAAGGAACUUCUUUUUGUGUAUGACGAAGAAACAAUGGUAUGUAUAAUUUCGAUUAUUAUGCUAGUUUCUUCCAGGAAAAAGUCACAAAAGUAUAAGACCGUACCCCAAACCGACACAGGUAAAUUGGUAGAGAAUACUAAGGCGCGUGAGUAAACCAAGUUUAAGGAACUCGGCAAAAUGACCUCGUAACUUCGGGAGAAGAGGUACUCUUUUUUGGGAGUGACACAAAAUCGGGGGUAACGACUGUUUAAUAAAAACACAUGACUCUGCUAAAUCGUAAGAUGAUGUAUAGGGUCUGACACCUGCCCGGUGCCAGAAGGCUAAAAGGAGAUGUGCAAGCUUCGAAUUGAAUCCCUGGUAAACGGCGGCCGUAACUCUGACGGUCCUAAGGUAGCGAAAUUCCUUGUCGAUUAACUGUCGACCUGCAUGAAUGGUGUAACGAUUUCCCCACUGUCUCAAACUUGGACUCAGUGAAAUUGAAUUGUCCGUGAAGAUGCGGACUAUCUACGGCUAGACGGAAAGACCCCGUGCACCUUUACUACAUCUUUUCAUUGUAUACCGGAGGACGUUGUGCAGGAUAGGUGGGAGCUUAUGAAACCUUGGCGCAAGCCAAUUGUUGAGGCGUCCUUGAGAUACCACUCUUCUUUGUUCCGGAUGCUAACCUCUUUCUCUAAAGAGAAGGGGGAACAGUGAAUGGUUGGUAGUUUGGCUGGGGUGGCCGCCUCCCAAAGAGUAACGGAGGCGCACAAAGGUAAGCUCAAGCUGGAAAAAAAUCAGCUGUAGAGCGCAAUAGCAUAUGCUUGCCUGACUGUAAGACAGACAUGUCGAGCAGAGACGCAAGUCGGUUAUAGUGAUCCGGUGGUCCGUCAUGGAACGGCCAUCGCUCAACGNAUAAAAGGUACGCCGGGGAUAACAGGCUAAUGACUCUUAAGAGCUCAUAUCGAUGGAGUUGUUUGGCACCUCGAUGUCGACUCAUCACAUCCUGGGGCUGGAGAAGGUCCCAAGGGUUCGUCUGUUCGCCGAAUAAAGUGGUACGUGAGUUGGGUUUAGAACGUCGUGAGACAGUUUGGUCCCUAUCUACCGUAGAUAAUGGAAAAAUGAGAGGAUCUCAAUCUAGUACGAGAGGACCGAAUAGGGUUGACCUCUGGUGUAUCGGUUGUCUUAUUAAAGGCAGUGCCGAGUAGCUACGUCAAUUAAAAAUAACUGCUGAAAGCAUAUAAGCAGGAAGUUGACCUCAAGAUUUUUUCUGUCAAAAAGUGUAAAAGAAUAUUACGUUGAUAGGCACGGUUUGUAAGUGUGGUGA